GUCACAUCACCUAGGUGUUGGGUCCAGCAAUAUGUCACUAUACACCCUGAGGGGUGGGCCCAGGCAAGAGACUCACAUCACCUAGGUGAGGGGUCCAGAGAUAUGUCAUGAGGCCCCCUUGUGGGCAGGGCUCAGGAAGGAGAGAAACUGCUGUUCUCAAUGUCACCAAUCACAUGGACAUCACAAAUCACUUGCAAAGUCAACAGACUCUUGUCUGCCCGCACAGUCUUCAGAAAAUGUGUCCAGGUGAAUUCAAAGCAAGGCAUUCUAAUUAGAACAAUGUACAGAAGGAAAGAAGGUAUGAGAGUCUGAGGGGAGUUUGAGGAACAGAAAGUAGACAGGGCAUCUCUGAAUUGGGGACUCUGAUUGGCCCAGAAGGAAUCAACUACUAUGUCUGUGUGCAUAAGAACAGAGAUAGGCAAAGUUGACUGUAAGAAAUGGAACAUCCGGGCCACGCACAGUGGCUCACACCUGUAAUCCCAGCACUUUGGGAGGCUGAGGCGGGAGGAUCACGAGGUCAGCAGGUCAAGACCAUCCUGGCUAACACAGUGAAACCCCAUCUCCACUAAAAACAAAAAUAAAAAAAAAUUAGCUGGUCAUGGUGGC